CUUCAGGAAGCCAGGCACCUGGAGGCUAGUGUUCUCCUAAAGUCAUAGCCUCCUUUCUUACCUCCAGACUGAAAAUAAUCUGUAGCCUGUGAGAGGAGGAGACUGAGUGUCUUCCUCCUGCCUCAGCCUUCCCCUAAGCUGCUCCUUUAACUAAGAACAAACUGUUAAAUUUCCAUUGUUAUAUUGGGAGUUAUUUAUUAUUUAACCUAAUGUGCUCUCAGGUGAAAGAGUGCCUCUUAUCAGGUAGUGUAAUAAAAACUGUCUGUUAACUCCCCUCACCUAGGAGAGUUCUGCUGACCUACAAAACUGGCUGAAGCCAAGCUAUAUGAAUAGGCAAAGUAUCUGUCUAGAGCAGAAGUAAAAGAGAGAAGAGACCUGAGACAUAGACAACAACAAAACCUUUAUAGCCCUUCUGCCUCUGCUGUAACCACAAAAAAACAGGCUUGUUGCUGCCACCAUCAUUGAGGUCUGGUGUGACUACUGAGGAAGAUCACUGCUGUGGGAAGAAGAAACUUUUUCACUAAAAGGACGAAGGAACUCAAACCUGCUGUCCAAAGUGCUCCUGGCUGGAAGUUGUUUGGAAAAGUCCCACCCAGGGAAAAUCUUCAGAAAGAUUCCAAAAUAAUUCAGCAGGAUGACAGUUCUGGCAGUCUUGCGUCAAUAUCUGCUCUCAGUCUAUUAAACACAGGGGUAUGGAAUUUAAUAUUUUUUUCUAGUUGCAUUAAUGCCAUGCAUGGGACUGUAUAGCACUCAUUAAAAAUAGAACAACAUCACAUUUCCACAGUAGCAUGAAUAUUUUAUGGCACUAACCAUCAACUCAUUAGAUACCAUUAGUUUAAAAAAG
rnacentral:lncRNA from 1 species